UUUAUUACCUGGCAGGGGAGACAACAUGAUCAUGAAGUUGGUUUUCCCAGGGUGAGGCUCAUCCAUUGCACUCUGGGUGUGCUGACCCCUGCGCUUUCUCCCCAAAUGUGGGAAACCCGACUGCAUAAUUUGUGGUCGUUAAAUCUUCUCCAGAUUUAA